rnacentral:rRNA from 1 species
CCUACGGGAGACAGCAGUAGGGAAUCUUCCACAAUGGACGAAAGUCUGAUGGAGCAACGCCGCGUGAGUGAAGAAGGGUUUCGGCUCGUAACGCUCUGUUGGUAGUGAAGAAAGAUAGAGGUAGUAACUGGCCUUUAUUUGACGGUAAUUACUUAGAAAGUCACGGCUAACUACGUACCAGCACCCGCGGUAAUACGGAGGUGGCAAGCGUUGUCCGGAUUUAUUGGUGGUAAAGCGAGUGCAGGCGGUUCAAUAAGUCUGAUGUGAAAGCCUUCGGCUCAACCGGAGAAUUGCAUCAGAAACUGUUGAACUUGAGUGCAGAAUAGGAGAGUGGAACUCCAUGUGGAGCGGUGGAAUGCGUAGAUAUAUGGAAGAACACCAGUGGCGAAGGCGGCUCUCUGGUCUGCAACUGACGCUGAGGCUCGAAAGCAUGGGUAGCGAACAGGAUUAGAUACCCGUGUAGUC